AGGAUGAACGCUGGCGGUCUGCUUAACACAUGCAAGUCGAACGGAGUAGCAAUACUUAGUGGCGGACGGGUGAGUAACGCGUGAGAAUCUACCUUCAGGACGGAGACAACAGUUGGAAACGACUGCUAACCCCCGAUGUACCGAAAGGGCAAAUAUUUAUAGCCUGAAGAAGAGCUCGCGUCCGAUUAGCUAGUUGGAGAGGUAAAAGCUCACCAAGGCGACGAUCGGUAGCUGGUCUGAGAGGACGAUCAGCCACACUGGGACUGAGACACGGCCCAGACUCCUACGGGAGGCAGCAGUGGGGAAUUUUCCGCAAUGGGCGAAAGCCUGACGGAGCAAGACCGCGUGGGGGAAGAAGGGCUCUUGGGGUUGUAAAACCCCCUUUUCUCUGGGGAAGAACGCAAUGACGGUACCAGAGGAAUCAGCAUCGGCUAACUCCGCGCCAGCAGCCGC
rnacentral:rRNA from 1 species